UCAAAUUUGAAAUCUGGGUCUUUUAGGCUCCGAGUUGUAAUUUGUAGAAGAUGCUUUGGGUGCGGCCCCGGUCUAAGUUCCUUGGAACAGGACGUCAUAGAGGGUGAGAAUCCCGUAUGUGAUCGGUGGCUUGCGCCCGUGUAAAGCUCUUUCGACGAGUCGGGUUGUUUGGGAAUGCAGCUCUAAAUGGGUGGUAAAUUUCAUCUAAAGCUAAAUAUUGGCCAGAGACCGAUAGCGCACAAGUAGAGUGAUCGAAAGAUGAAAAGCACUUUGGAAAGAGAGUUAAACAGUACGUGAAAUUGUUGAAAGGGAAGCGCUUGCAACCAGACUUGCGCGGGGUUGAUCAUCCGGGGUUCUCCCCGGUGCACUCGGCCUCGCUCAGGCCAGCAUCGGUUUUGGUGGUUGGAUAAAGGCCUUGGGAAUGUGACUUCUUUCGGGGAGUGUUAUAGCCCUCGGUGCAAUGCAGCCUACCGGGACCGAGGACCGCGCUUCGGCUAGGAUGCUGGCGUAAUGGUUGUAAGCGACCCGUCUUGAAACACGGACCAAGGAGUCUAACAUCUAUGCGAGUGUUUGGGUGUCAAACCCAUACGCGUAAUGAAAGUGAACGGAGGUGAGAACCCUUAAGGGUGCAUCAUCGACCGAUCCUGAUGUCUUCGGAUGGAUUUGAGUAAGAGCAUAGCUGUUGGGACCCGAAAGAUGGUGAACUAUGCCUGAAUAGGGUGAAGCCAGAGGAAACUCUGGUGGAGGCUCGCAGCGGUUCUGACGUGCAAAUCGAUCGUCAAAUUUGGGCAUAGGGGCGAAAGA
rnacentral:rRNA from 1 species